GACGAACGCUGGCGGCGUGCCUAAUACAUGCAAGUAGAACGCACAGUUUAUACCGUAGCUUGCUACACCAUAGACUGUGAGUUGCGAACGGGUGAGUAACGCGUAGGUAACCUGCCUGGUAGCGGGGGAUAACUAUUGGAAACGAUAGCUAAUACCGCAUAAUAUUGAUUAUUGCAUGAUAAUUAAUUGAAAGGUGCAAUUGCACCACUACCAGAUGGACCUGCGUUGUAUUAGCUAGUAGGUGAGGUAACGGCUCACCUAGGCGACGAUACAUAGCCGACCUGAGAGGGUGCUCGGCCACACUGGGACUGAGACACGGCCCAGACUCCUACGGGAGGCAGCAGUAGGGAAUCUUCGGCAAUGGACGAAAGUCUGACCGAGCAACGCCGCGUGAGUGAAGAAGGUUUUCGGAUCGUAAAGCUCUGUUGUAAGAGAAGAACGGGUGUGAGAGUGGAAAGUUCACACUGUGACGGUAUCUUACCAGAAAGGGACGGCUAACUACGUG
rnacentral:rRNA from 1 species